rnacentral:rRNA from 1 species
UUAAUAUAGGUUGUUUUACUAAAAUUUUAUUUGAAUGUCAUAAUAAAUUUGAGAGGUAUUGGCGGUAUCUAGUUAAAUUCUGAGGAACUUGUUUAUUUAAAUUGAUAUAACACAUUAAAUUUUAUCUAUAAAUUAUUUUAUAUAUUGCUGUUUAGUUUAUUGUUUAAUAUUAUUAAUAAAUUGAAAUGAUAAUAUAGAGUAAAGAAUUCAAGUCAAAAUGUAGAUUUUUAUAGGUAUAAAUGAGUUACAUUUAUAUUGAAUUAUGAUUGCUGAUUAGUUUAAUUGUAAUAUUAAUUUGAUGCUGGAUUAGGGAGUAAAAAGAAAAUAAUUAGUUUUUUUGAUAUAUUUUUGCUGGUAUGU